AGGAAGAGAAGACAGAGAUAUUGAAGAGAUAUAUAUGCACUUCCAUGUUUAUCGCAGCAUUAUUCACAAUAGCCAAGAUGUGGUAACAACCUAAGUGCCCAUUCGUGGAUGAAUGGAUAAAGAAAAUAUAUAUAUAUAUAUAUAUAUAUAUAUAUAUAUAUAUAUAUAUAUAUAGUAGUAUUCAGCCAAGAGAAAAAAGGACACCCUGCUAUUUGUAACAACAUAUUUGUGACAACAUGGAUGAAUCUUGAGGACUUUAUGCUGAGAUAAGGCAGACAGAGAAAGACAAAUACUGUAUGAUAUCAUUCAAAUGUAGAAUCUAAAAAAGCCAAACUCAUAAAAACAGAGAGUAAAAUGGUGGUUACCAGAAGAUGGAAGUUGAGGUAUAGGACAGAUGUGGUUUAAAGGUACAAACUUGCAAGGAGCAAUAAUAAGUACUGGAGAUCUAAUGCACAGUAUAGUGAAUAUAAACAAUAUUGCAUUAUAAUCAUCAAACUUGCUAAAAGACUAGAACUUAACCACUAAAGAAAAAUGAUAAUUAUGUGAUAUGAUAGAGUUGCUAACUAUUCUACCAUGGCAAUCAUAUUACAAUAUAUAAAUCAAAUUAACAAAAUUUAAUUAACUUAAAUCUACACAAUGUGUUAUGUCAA